AUAUUCCUGUUUCAGCCUCCCAAGUGAUGGAAAUCCAGGAACAAAUUCCAAGCCUCCUUAUUCCUAACCUGAUGGUCAUCCUGCCCCGCCGUGUCAUCCUCCUCCUGGGGCUGUGGUCCAGGUGCCUUUCCAUCCAAUUAAAUCAAGCCUGGGUCUUCUUUUGGGAACUUUUAGUUGGACAGCGAGGCUGUGGUGUACACAUCAGGCCACGGACAUGAUGGCUGACUAACGACAGCUGGAACACAUCCUAGAUCACCCAGUUUGAAGACACUCCAAGUCCCAUACUAACCCAGCUCUGGAUCGUAAGAGUUGGGUGAACACAGAUACAAAGAGGCCCCAAAGAGGAUGGAUCUCCUGAGGUCUUAUCAGGACCAUACAGUGUUCCAAGGUAAGAUGCAGCCUCUGUUCCCUUGCUUGGGCUCCCCCAGACUUUCCUGCCCCUCCCCAUGAACCUGGGCAUGGGCUGCUUGGAUUUGCUCAAGACGUGGUCGCAGUAUUUCCAGAACAAGCAUAAGAAGAGAAUAGUGUGGGACAGUGUGACAUCUUAUGUUCCAGCCUCGCAUCCUUCGUCCCUGCUGGAUCUCAUGGGUUGAGGGGGUUGCAAAGCCCUGUCUGGGUUCGAGGCCUAGGGGAUGGGGACUACAACUCUUCAGGGAGUGGCACAUCCUUGAUGAGUGCCCAGGCCAGGAGAUGUUGCCGCAGCCUUCUUGGGAAACAAAGCUCUGCCACACAAGCUACAGGGCUCCUGGUGUUCCCCAGACCACAGCCAUCAACUCGGUCCCGGUGAACCUGUCUUGGAGGCUGCUUUCAGUGACUGUGAUGCGAAUUCCACCCUCCACUCCUUCUGGUGAACAUCAGAGGUUUCCAGAGCAUUAAGAUUGGUGCUUGUGACAGUGGCUGGUUUCUGCAGAUUCUGAGUCAGGUCUGUGCUGGGAUCCAGGAAGACUGUAUUUUAAUAAAGACCCCAGUGCUUCUGAGGAGGGUUUCCCUGCAGGGAGACUAGUGCUGUCUGUAGGUGGCGACUGCAUGAGCUCUGGCCCAAUGAGACAACAAUGCAGAGUGUGCCUGCAGUGCCGGGGCUGCCUCUGAACAGGUGCAGCAGGAGGCAGGAGCUGCCUUCUAACUCGAAGACUGUUCUCUCGCCCGCCACAUCUCCUCCUUUCCACCAUGCUUCCCCCCCACCACCGUGACUCCUGCGAUCUCUGCCCCCUGGGAACCGGAAGCACUCUGAAGAGAACCGGAAGCGCCCCGGAGGAACCUGGCCUCCACUCUGUCUGCAUUAGGACAAUUCUGUGCUCCUGCGUCUCCAGGGUCCUCUUCCUCUCUGGCUUUCUCCGUCCCCUACGCAAUGUCAAGGUUGCUGUAGGUCUCUCCUCCAAAAGCAGCAGCUCUCAUCUCUGACAUUUGUAAAUCCCUUCCGGGUCAGGUGUUGGUGCUCAUCUUCUGGGGGAGGAAUGCCCUCUUGGCGGCCUCUGAGAUGACUGUCAGGGGAGGGCUGGAAAGCCUGGUGCACUUCUCCCUCAGAUUUUGCCUGUCUCAGUUUCUUCUCUGGCCGCUGUAUGAUACUUACUCCAGAGGCGGCAAAGAUGCUGCGUCUGCGGCAAGUGCCCACGCGGGAGCAGGCCUGACCCCGACCUAUAGUCACUUCGCUUCUCUGAUGCCCCAUAAAGGGCCAGGACCAAGUGGUAGUUGGUUUGUUGAUUUUGUUUUUAAUAUAACCCAGGGCCUUCACACUGAGCUAUGUCCCCAACCUUUUUUUUUUGAGACAGGUCCUUGCUAGGUUACCCAGACUGACUUCAAACUUGCAAUCCUCCUGCCUCAGCCUCCCAGAGUGCUUGGAUCAAGGCAUGCCCACCACAUCCAGUUCAACCUCCUCCUUAAACUAAUUCAAUUCCUCCUCUAUCACAAGCAAAGAUAAGCCACAGGCAGAGUCACAACCUUCCCCUUCAUGUUCUUUCUUUUUUCUGUAGUUCACAUGAUGACUACGAGAUCACACCAUAUCAUAAAGCUGAAAACCAGAACUCACUUCUCUAUAAAUUUCUGUGAUAUUUUUUCUUGUCAAAUCCUAAGCAAU